rnacentral:rRNA from 1 species
UGGGGAAUCUUGCGCAAUGGGCGAAAGCCUGACGCAGCAACGCCGCGUGUGUGAUGAAGGUCUUCGGAUCGUAAAGCACUGUCGCGAGGGAAGAGACGCCAUCGGACAACACCCGAUGGUCGAGACGGUACCUCGAGAGGAAGCACCGGCUAACUCUGUGCCAGCAGCCGCGGUAAUACAGAGGGUGCGAGCGUUGUUCGGAAUCAUUGGGCGUAAAGCGCUUGUAGGCGGCCUGCCAAGUCGCGUGUGAAAUCCCUUGGCUCAACCAAGGAAGUGCGCGCGAAACUGGCGGGCUCGAGUGCCGGAGAGGGUCGCGGAAUUCCCGGUGUAGAGGUGAAAUUCGUAGAUAUCGGGAGGAACACCAGUGGCGAAGGCGGCGACCUGGACGGACACUGACGCUGAGACGCGAAAGCGUGGGGAGCAAACAGGAUUAGAUACCCCCGUAGUCC